rnacentral:rRNA from 1 species
CAGUCGAGGGGCAGCGCAGUGUAGCAAUACAUGGGCGGCGACCGGCAAACGGGUGCGGAACACGUACGCAACCUUCCUUUCAGCGGGGAAUAGCCCAUAGAAAUGUGGAUUAAUACCCCAUUAGAUCGUGGUCUGGCAUCAGGCAGCGAUUAAAGCUCCGGCACUGAGAGAUGGGCGUGCGUCUGAUUAGGUAGUUGGUGAGGUAACGGCUCACCAAGCCGACGAUCAGUAACUGGCGUGAGAGCGCGACCAGUCACACGGGCACUGAGACACGGGCCCGACUCCUACGGGAGGCAGCAGUAAGGAAUAUUGGUCAAUGGACGCAAGUCUGAACCAGCCAUGCCGCGUGGAGGAUGAAGGUCCUCUGGAUUGUAAACUUCUUUUAUCUGGGAAGAAAUGCUCUUUUUCUAAAGGGUUUGACGGUACCAGAUGAAUAAGCACCGGCUAACUCCGUGCCAGCAGCCGCGGUAAUACGGAGGGUGCAAGCGUUAUCCGGAUUCACUGGGUUUAAAGGGUGCGUAGGCGGAAUUGUAAGUCCGUGGUGAAAUCUCCGAGCUUAACUCGGAAACUGCCGUGGAUACUAUAGUUCUUGAAUGUUGUGGAGGUUAGCGGAAUAUGUCAUGUAGCGGUGAAAUGCUUAGAUAUGACAUAGAACACCGAUUGCGAAGGCAGCUGGCUACACAAAUAUUGACGCUGAGGCACGAAAGCGUGGGGAUCAAACAGGAUUAGAUACCCUGGUAGU